CUAACAGUCGCUCAGUCCUUACCUCAACUUCAGGUUCUCCAUAAACUGCUCCAUCGUCACCUCAUCCAGGAGCACGAAGUCCGACUUCCCGAACUCCAGGCCCUCCAGCUCCGCCAUCCUGGCCUGCCUUCAGCGAGCUUUAAAAUAAAAAUAAGACAGACAGGGAAAAGGAACAAAAAGCAGCUCAAGGGAGGAAGAAGAGAGAGAAGUAUGGUCGACUACUGGGGCCCGGUAGUGCAGGCAGUGGGCGUGCGGCACAGUGACACAGCUCAGACUCGUGACUCAGAUGCUUUUUCUGAGUUAAGCUCUACAUUGUUUGCUUCAUGAACAGAGUCUUUCUUGAGGAUCUGCAGCUAGCUACUUGACAUAAAAGUCACAUCCAGAACACAAUAAAAAAAAAUGCUGGAUAAUUA